rnacentral:lncRNA from 1 species
GAGGACAAAAAGUUAGUUAAUAGGUUCUUUAACAUUUUUCGGUUUUCUAUUUUUAUUCGCGAGAUACGAGGCUCUAAACAGCGAUUUUCGUAAAAUUGUCGCGUAUCAACAAGAGUCUGGGACGAGCGUGGUGUGACGUAGCUUAAGGAACUUAAUUUCGACGCGCAUUAUACAUUUGAUAUAUUUUUAUUUAUUUAUUUAUUUAGCUUUGCCAACUAGGGCAGGGUCACCACAACAGCAUAUGCCAAUUACUGUGGGCCCUUUUUACCUAACCCACCCUGUCAACUUUACCUGUGGGAGGAAACCGGAGUACCCGGGGAAAACCCACGGCUUUCGGCAGAGCGUUGACUAUUACUCUUUUCACAUGAGGACUGGGUUCGAGUCGCACUGAGAAGGUACUUAGUGAGAUUCGAACCUGCAGCCUCAGAGGUGAAAGGCAAGUGCGCUAACCACUUGGCCACCGUAGCCCCCUUUCCAGCAUGUCAGACAGUAGGUCGGAUUCGGAAAGCACUCAUAGUUCUCAAUGUGACUCAGAAUACAAUUAUAUUGCUGGAUAUAUUAUAGAGGAUGAAUGAAAUGAUACUAGUCACAAAAUCGGAACUCUAGAAGCAGUUGAUAGCGAAAUUUUAGGCGAUUAUGAUGCAUGCCUUUAUGCCGAUGAACCGCUAGCAGGCGAAGAAUGGUACGCACGAUAUCUAAAAAAAUCAGCAGAACACAAGCAACAAAACUAGAUGCUACAGCGAAGAUUAGAUGGCCUUGAAGAUAUUAAAUUAUGAGGAGUGUAAAGAAAGAUUUAUUUUAACAUUUUAACGUAAAAUAAGUAUCUCUGACUAAUAUAUUUUGCGGGAUACGGGCUCAUACGGCAUCAGUCACAUCAAAGAGUUUAAACCAUGUACACUUCCCUCACCUUCGCAAGAAAAUACAAGACACGAGAUCAAAGAAAAUAUAAACCGACUGGUUCAGAGCAAAUUACGUAUAUAUUCUUGUUUGAGGCUACAGUGUUUAUCUGUGAUCACGUUUAUUUAAUACGAACGAUUAAACGAUUGUAUUUUCUCGCAAGUUUUCUUAGAGCCCAUUUUUCCAAGCAAAUAGGUCUGAAUCCCGAGUGUAGAAUGAUACAGCAGUAACAGCACGGCGGCUGUGGUACAUCUUCUUAAACCAAGUUAUCCUUCAGAACUUCCCCACAUUUACAAGAUUCCAUCUCCUGACAGCACCAAGCUUCGUGUGUAUAUGUAUUAUCACACAAUUGCCGCAUUUACACUUGCGAAAUAUGAUACAGGUGAGGAAAGUGAUAUGACUG